rnacentral:rRNA from 1 species
GAUGAACGCUGGCGGCGUGCCUAAUACAUGCAAGUCGAGCGAACGGACGAGAAGCUUGCUUCUCUGAUGUUAGCGGCGGACGGGUGAGUAACACGUGGAUAACCUACCUAUAAGACUGGGAUAACUUCGGGAAACCGGAGCUAAUACCGGAUAAUAUUUUGAACCGCAUGGUUCAAAAGUAAAAGACGGUCUUGCUGUCACUUAUAGAUGGAUCCGCGCUGCAUUAGCUAGUUGGUAAGGUAACGGCUUACCAAGGCAACGAUGCAUAGCCGACCUGGGAGGGUGAUCGGCCACACUGGAACUGAGACACGGUCCAGACUCCUACGGGAGGCAGCAGUAGGGAAUCUUCCGCAAUGGGCGAAAGCCUGACGGAGCAACGCCGCGUGAGUGAUGAAGGUCUUCGGAUCGUAAAACUCUGUUAUUAGGGAAGAACAUAUGUGUAAGUAACUGUGCACAUCUUGACGGUACCUAAUCAGAAAGCCACGGCUAACUACGUG